GACGAACGCUGGCGGCGUGCUUAACACAUGCAAGUCGAACGGAAAGGCCCUGCUUUUGUGGGGUGCUCGAGUGGCGAACGGGUGAGUAACACGUGAGUAACCUGCCCUUGACUUUGGGAUAACUUCAGGAAACUGGGGCUAAUACCGGAUAGGAGCUCCUGCUGCAUGGUGGGGGUUGGAAAGUUUCGGCGGUUGGGGAUGGACUCGCGGGUUAUCAGCUUGUUGGUGGGGUAGUGGCUUACCAAGGCUUUGACGGGUAGCCGGCCUGAGAGGGUGACCGGCCACAUUGGGACUGAGAUACGGCCCAGACUCCUACGGGAGGCAGCAGUGGGGAAUAUUGCACAAUGGGCGGAAGCCUGAUGCAGCAACGCCGCGUGCGGGAUGACGGCCUGCGGGUUGUAAACCGCUUUCGCCUGUGACGAAGCGUGAGUGACGGUAAUGGGUAAAGAAGCACCGGCUAACUACGUG
rnacentral:rRNA from 1 species